GGAGAGAUGGCAGAGUGGUUGAAUGCGCCUGACUCGAAAUCAGGUAUAUCUGUUAAGGGUAUCGGGAGUUCAAAUCUCCCUCUCUCCGCCA
rnacentral:tRNA from 1 species